UACGAAGGGGGCUAGCGUUGCUCGGAAUCACUGGGCGUAAAGGGUGCGUAGGCGGGUCUUUAAGUCAGGGGUGAAAUCCUGGAGCUCAACUCCAGAACUGCCUUUGAUACUGAAGAUCUUGAGUUCGGGAGAGGUGAGUGGAACUGCGAGUGUAGAGGUGAAAUUCGUAGAUAUCUGGAGGAACACCGGUGGCGAAGGCGACAUCCUGGACCGGUAUUGACGCUGAGGCGCGAAAGCCAGGGGAGCAAACGGG
rnacentral:rRNA from 1 species